AGAGGCCUCUGCUCUGCCAGCCUGGGAGUCAUCUUCACCCUCAGGCUGGUAGACUCCAGUCUCUUAGGUCAGAAUGGGAUUAGAGACCCGUUCCUGAACCAGUCACACACAGCGGGUGAAACUGCUAUGAUUGGUUUAGACUUAGAGACUGGAAUGGAUGCUGCCCAUGAAAGCAUAAAAAGUGACCAGAAACAUCAGCAAAAUUCUGAAAACAACAUCUCAUUGCUGUUUCUGUUUGGAGACGUGUAGAUGUUGACAACAAAAAUAUCCAUGAAAGUACAAGCCUCCCAGCUCCAUCACAUGUCCAAGACUCACUGGAAGUGAGGAGAACCUUUGAGUCCCCAGAUAGCAGAUGACUGGUAGGAAGAUGAGGCAAGUUUGCGGUCCAUUGUCAUGGAUAGUGGAGACAACACUGGGCCAGAAGUGGUAAGACCUGAAUCCAAGACUCAGCUCUGCCACUUGCUAAAUGGGACUUUGAAUAAACCAUUUCUCUGCACUUAAGUUCCUUACCAACAAAACGAGGGAAGUGGCCUACAUGCCUAGAUAUCAACAUUUCAUGUCACGUAGAGAUCUAGCAUCACAAGAAUCCAAGUCAUCCUCUGUUGCCUUUAAGAAAUUAGAAUUAAAGGAAUCAGAAUUGAAGUGAAUCUGACUACACUAAGCCUAUCACUUGUGACAGCCAUGGGAAGAUAUCAUUGGUUGCUGAGGAGCAGAAAUAAGCAGAGACCUAUUGUGUUAGGUUAUCAUUCAUUUCAGACAAAAAGCAGAUCAGCAAGUUUUCAUAUUGCACUAUUUUCAAUGGCUGGAGCAUCAACAUUUUACAACAAGAAAAAAAUUAAAAUUCUUCAACAUUUGGAAAAGAAGUGUUUGUAAAACUUUUCACAUCCAUUCACCAUCCGGAAAAGCAAGGUUUUACAGUGAGGCCUGAUGAUGUCUAGAGUCACCAUGCAUCUUGGAAAAUGACCUCCUAUUUAUUUCUUCUACAGGACACCAUGGUGUUCACCUUUCUACAACUUUACACUUGCUGAGGACAUAUUGUGGAAAAUUAAGAGAAAUAUAUAUGGAUGGCCAAGGCUGUAGAUGGAUGUCCAAGCCUUUUUACUGGGGAAUGUUUUCAGAACAAAAUGAGUUACAGGUUCAAGAGUGAAACCCAACAAAUCUUGGCUCUUUUUUUCUCUACUAAAUUCCAAAUCAAAAGUA
ensembl:lncRNA LINC02207 long intergenic non-protein coding RNA 2207